ensembl:lncRNA
ACGCUCUACAGUGAACUCUAAAAGACCAGAAAGAGGGGAAGUGUCUAAAACAAGAGCUUGUUUACAAGAAAAGGUCCCUCAGACUCUGGUCUGUGUAGCCAGGGCUUCCCUAUCUGUCUGCUCCUCAAGACAGGAGCACUGGGGCCCUGUUCAUUUGAUCGGGUCCCAGAAAUGUGAUAGAAAGGGCCACUCCUCUCCACGCCCACGAGCAAAAGCUGAAGAAUUUAGUUUUUUUAUUUUACAUUUCAAAAAUAUGGCAUCAUAAUUAGCACACAUAAAUAAACCAUAACUGGCCUGCAGUAUUUCUUAUUGUCCUGUAGAUGGUGUUGAAGAGAUGAGGAGAGAGGUGGUGGAAAAGAAUAGGUGGAAGGGAAGAGAAGGGGAGAGAGGUGGUGGACAGAAUAGGUGGACGAGAAGACAAGGGGACAGAGGUGGUAGACAGAAUAUGGAGAGAAGAGAGGCGGAACGACGUGGUGGACAGAAUAAGAGGGAAGAGAAGAAAGGCGGAGGGAGGUGGUGGACAGAAUAAGAGGGAAGAGAGGAGGAGGGAGGUGCUGCAAGGAAUAAGAGGGAAGAGAGGCGGAGGGAGGUGCUGGAUGGAAUAAGAGGGAAGAGAGGAGGAGGGAGGUGCUGGAUGGAAUAAGAGGGAAGAGAGGAGGAGGGAGGUGCUGCAAGGAAUAAGAGGGAAGAGAAGAGAGGCGGAGGGAGGUGCUGGAUGGAAUAAGAGGGAAGAGAGGUGGAGGGAGGUGGUGGAUGGAAUAAGAGGGAAGAGAGGAGGAGGGAGGUGGUGGACAGAAUAAGAGGGAAGAGAGGCGGAGGGAGGUGGUGGACAGAAUAAGAGGGAAGAGAGGAGGAGGGAGGUGCUGGAUGGAAUAAGAGGGAAGAGAGGCGGAGGGAGGUGCUGGAUGGAAUAAGAGGGAAGAGAGGCGGACGGAGGUGCUGGAUGGAAUAAGAGGGAAGAGAGGAGGACGGAGGUGCUGGAUGGAAUAGGAAGAAGAGAAGAGGGAAAGAGAAGAGGGGAAGAGGGAGGUGGAGGUGGAGGACAGAAUAGGCGGUGCUGGUUUCAAAAAGGCCCACACUUCUGAAGGGGGAUCUCAUUUACAUUGCCUUGAUUACCUGAGUCCUCCACUGAGGGAGUUUGAUUAACCUGAACCGUGGUGCACCGGGCUUUGUCCCGUGACGUGAACGGAUAAAAGGGGGAAAGGAGGGACAUCUUUCUUAACUCUACGUGCAUAACUUUCGUCACUUUUGUUGAAAGUGAGUCCCAGGAAGCAGCCUCUUCCAAAACGAAUGCAAUCAUUUUUCACGCAUGUUAACAUAAUUUUCAUUAGCAGGUGGCUGAAUCUCAACAGAGAAACCACCCGAGCGAGGAAAACACCCCUCUGUCUCAGGAUGUGUAGCCCAUGUGUCUGAUGCCGUCUGGACCAAAAUAGAAUAUAUAACAUGUUGCCGCCAUAGCAGUUGAUUGAUGCCAGCAAGCAUUUAGCCUCUCUUGAUAAAAACAUUAUAAAAUAAUUAGCUAAUCAGCGUUGAGCUGAAAUGUGGGUUGUCCUGGUGCAGCAAAACAGCCCCAAGGGAUACCCCAAUCAAAUCACAUCCUAAGAAAAAGGUAAUCUUCAUGAAAAACGUGUCUGUUUCUGGUCUGUUUGUGUUGAUGUCCUGCAGUAGCUACCUUGUGUUGAUGUCCUGCAGUAGCUAGCUUGUGUUGAUGUCCUGCAGUAGCAGGAGCAGGACCUGUAACACCACCCGAUGCUACAGGAAGGCCAUAAAGAUCAUCAAGGACAUCAACCACCCGAGCCACUGCCUGUUCACCCCGCUGUCAUCCAGAAGGCGAGGUCAGUACAGGUGCAUCAAAG